rnacentral:rRNA from 1 species
UGCCAGCCGCCGCGGUAACACGAACUGUGCGAACGUUAUUCGGAAUUAUUGGGCUUAAAGAGUUCGUAGGCGGCUUGUUAAGUCGGGUGUGAAAUCCCUCGUCUCAACCGAGGAAUUGCGUUCGAAACUGGCAGGCUUGAGUGAGAUAGAGGUGAGCGGAACUGAUGGUGGAGCGGUGAAAUGCGUUGAUAUCAUCAGGAACACCGGUUGCGAAGGCGGCUCACUGGGUCUUUACUGACGCUGAGGAACGAAAGCUAGGGGAGCGAACGGGAUUAGAUACCCCGGUAGUCCUAGCCGUAAACGAUGAGCACUGGGCUGAGCGGACCUCCACAUCCGCCCUGCCGUAGCGAAAGCGUUAAGUGCUCCGCCUGGGGAGUAUGGUCGCAAGGCUGAAACUCAAAUAAAUUGGCGG